rnacentral:lncRNA from 1 species
AUGAAACCCCAAUCCUCCAAGAUUGGCAGUCGAGGGGAAUCAUUUUUCCUCUGGAAUUUAAUUUUUCUAAGGGUCUCUCUUCAGUUAAUGCCGCCUUCCUGAGGCUGUCUGGCUCCAGACCUGUCUGGUUCUGGUCUCAGGGAGCGUAGCUAUUGCGGUAAUCCAGGUGAGAGGUGAUUGGGGUGGCAGUAGUAGAGAUGGACAGAUUCAGUAAAUAUUUUGG